GCUACAGGUGGGAAGUCGUCCGGACGGCCAUCCAACUAUCUGGACACUUCUGCACUCAUGAAAUAGUUUAAAACACCCAAAAUUCUUAUACCUCUCUCUUUUGUCUCGGCCCAAACACUCCCAAAACCCAUUUUUCUCUCAAAAUCCCUCAUCUCCAUCAACCAGGAUCAUCUAUCAAGGAGGACGAGCAGCCGCUGGACGUGUGACGCGGGCGUAGUCCAUAUUAUCCAUUUUUAUGUUAUAUUUCCUGUUUGGAUUAUGUGGUGUACUAGGAGGUUGACUCUUAGCCCUUUUAAACUUUAAUUGGAUUUGGUACGGUAGACUUGGCAUGUCCCUAGACUUUGUGGAGGUUAUUUGAAUUUGAAAAAUCGCAGUCAUUAUCUCUCU